GGAGGGAACUCCUCAGGAGCGCCCUGUCCGGGGUGCCCUCUGCGCUCUGCAGUGUCUUUCUUUCUGCCUGGGAGGAGGAGGAAGAGGAGGAGGAGGAGGAGGAAGAGGAGGAGGAGGAGGAGAAGGACGUCUGGUCCCGGCUGGGAGGUGGAGCAGCGGCAGCAGCAGCAGCCGCCGCCGAGGCAGCCGCAGCCGCCGCCGCCGGAAAGGGAGAGGCAGGAGAGACCGAGACUUGGAAACCCCAAAGUGUCCGCGACCCUGCACGGCAGGCUCCCUUCCAGCUUCAUGGGCAAAGUGUGGAAACAGCAGAUGUACCCUCAGUACGCCACCUACUACUACCCUCAGUAUCUGCAAGCGAAGAAAGCAAAAAGCAGAUGCCUCUUCAAAGUUACGAUCAGAAGCAGGGCAUUCACCUUGACUACAUUGCUUUGGGAAAGGACAACCAUUGGGGGAGGAGUGGAGCCGUCACCUACUUCAGGGAGCGUCUACCUUCUGUGGGCCCAAAGCAGUCUCUGGUCCCAGCCCACCCCAUGGCCCCUCCCAGUCCCAGCACCACCAGCAGUAAUAACAACAGUAGCAGCAGUAGCAACUCAGGAUGGGAUCAGCUCAGCAAAACAAACCUCUACAUCCGAGGACUGCCUCCCCACACCACCGACCAGGACCUGGUGAAGCUCUGUCAACCGUAAGUAGCAGUUGUUCUUGUUAUUUUAGCUGCUCAGUAUUUUCUUGAUCAUAUUAUAGAGUGAUAUAUACUGCAUUAUAAGAGAAGUUCAUAGGAGAUAUCUGUGGACUCUCAGUAUCGCAACAAUAAAAUGGGUUUCAAGUGUUAACUUCUUGAAUACUUAUUCAGUCAAUAUUAACAUCAUCAGACUGGCUACAUAUCAAAAUGAAUUGGAGCAUUUUCUUAAUAGAAUUUGACUUUAUGGGCAUAUGAAAAGUAAAAUGUGAAUUUUUGGAAAAAAUGUAUGGCUCGAUAUUUUUUUAAAAGUUUUCAUUUUUUGUGGAUGCACCUCUGAGGGCCGGUCUAUCCUAUGAGAAGAACUUUAGCUAGCAUUGUUUGUAACAAAGGUUAUUAACCAUCUUACCUCAUCCUGAAUAUAAGCUCUUAAUUCCAGCUGGGACCAUAUUAGUCUGUUCCCAUUAGCAUCCAUAGUUUUGUGGUCUGGGUCGUUCAACCUCAUCUCUUUAGGAAUAAGAACUCAAUUCUACCCAUUCAGUGUGUUAUGAAGAAAUGUGUGCAUGUGCAUAAAGUUCCAAAGUAAAUUUGCAUUAUAUGCUAAUGUUGUCAAUGAAUAGUAAAUUUGCAUUAUAUGCUAAUAUUGUCAAUGAAUAGAAGAUAAAUGUGCUGCUUUGCUGCAAUUACAUUAACUCACUAAGAAAGCACUAAUUUAAAAGAAGCAGCCAGAAGCACUGUAUAGUGCAAAGAUCAUUGUGUAAGGACUGAAAGCAUCAAAUUGCAUCAAGCUAUAAAAGCCUACACAUAUAACAGCACUUUUUAUUUAUUCUAAGACAAUAAUGGUCCCUUAUAAAGAUAAUUUUGCAUAACUGCAGUUGAAAACUUUUGCUAGAGAAUGUUUCCUAUUCCCUGAAUUUCAAAACAUCUGACUGAUAACAUCUCAUUUCUCUUGUCAUGUGUAAAAUCCAGAUUCAUUACUUUUUUUUUUUUUUCAAGAAAAAAAAAUUCAAAGCUAACUUGGUCAGUUAUUUCCAAACUGGAACUAAAAGUAACAUCUGGCCUUUCAUGGAUAGGGGAGGGGGUGAUGGUUGUUUUGCUGUCUUUUGUUUUGAAAGAGGAGGGUUGGGACAGUAGGUGGUGGCUCUUUAAGAUCUGGAGAGCUUUCUAGAAGGCCAUCCCCUCUCAGCACUCUCCCUGUGCCUUUUCCAUGUCCCUGUUUUUGACCAGCCCUUGUGGACUUUGACUCCGGUCCCUGGCUUUUGGGGCAGUGAAAUAAUGUACUGCACUAGGGACUGCUCUGAAGCAAGCCCAGCUCUUGGGGUUUGUCAUUGCUGGCCGGAGGCAGAGGGAACCCUGCCAGGCACGCCCUGCCCUAUUGCAGCUGUUCAAGACCACAAAUAGGCCUUUGCUAUCUCCUCUGAUGCUGGCCUUUCAGUGGCGUCAUAUUAUGUUUUUGCAGUGUAAUUACAGGUAGAUAGAGUGCCAUAAAGUCUAAGGAACUAAAAAUAUGACUGUAAGAAACAGAAGAAUGAAGCUAACUCUCAAAUUCAUGAGGUGUAAGAGAAGGGGAGAGGAAUUCAAAAGACAAAUUGUUCUCCAGCUAGCGUUGAAUUAUGUAGGGUGAGUUUUGAUGUCGAAACAAUUAACUGUAAGAUACUGGAGUAACACCAUGUUUCAUAUACAGUAAAUAAGUACUUGAAAAAUUGAGCCAGUAAUUUUUUUAUUGAACCAAAUCAUAUUCCAAAUGUGGAAGAACGUUUUAUCAUUUUUUCUAGAAUAUUCGUUUCCUUUUUGCUGUUCUCUUUGACAUAUAUGGAUUUUCUUAACAUGUGUAAACAUUAUUCUCCUUGCUGUCAUCAAUAUUAGCAAUAACAUUGCAACCCUCCCUCUCUCCCAUCACUUGCAAAGGAAGGCUAUUGUAAAAUUCCAGGUUACGUACUGAAGUCUGAUAAUAGUCUUCUUGAUAUGUACCAUACAGAGGCAAAACAUAAUAAUAGAGGACUCUAUCUCAGAAUUUGCUGGAACCUUUAUUCCAUUUAACACAGAGAAUGUAGUAAAUACCAAAUUUGACUUGCUGAGAGUUUCAUGUCUUAGAAUGUAAAAAAGCACAAAAGAGCAUCCCUGUUCUGGGCUUAAUUGUUUCCCAUAAAGAAGAGCUAGUUGGUGACAUAGAAGUGACAAGAACCUUUUGGGAAAGUAACUCAUCCUAGAGCUUACAAGCCCAGUGGACAUAGAGAUUUUAGAAAAGUAGGUAUCAGAAACUUCUCAGAAAAAAAAAGAUAUAAAUCCAUACCUCUAAAAAAGAAAAGAAACCCUUAGAACUAAAACUUAGCACUAAAACUUAGCACUAUAAUUACAAAUUGACCUGAUGAGGCUGAAUUGAGAGGGAAAGGAAGGAAACAAAUGAUUUGGCUCUCCAGGGGGCUUAGAUGUUUUAGACCAUUAUUUAACAGAAAGAUGGGACAAGCCAGGAAUGUUUAUGAUGGUGGCCCAAUUCCAUACAAACAGCGCAUGAAGUCCAAAGGCGAGUAUUACAUGAAGAUUUUAAAAACUGGAGAGGAAAACAAAAUAUAUUUUUUAAAAACUGCGUCUGAAGUAGAACAUAAGUAUGCUGUAAUGUUAGAGGAGGUUACAGUGGAAAAGCAAAUGUGAUGUUGAGAUGACAGGGAAAGGCAGCCCCACCCAGACUCAAAAGAGGGAGUCAUGACCAACCUUGGAAAGUGUAGAUCACCAUGACUAAGAGGAGGAGGCAUGUGGGGUAGGGGCUCAGACCAGAAGCCAACCAGCCUAAGUUCCUGACACAGGGUGGUGAUGGUGGUAAGUCAGGUAAUCUGAAUUGAAAAGAGAUAAAUUUUCUAGAAGCAUUUAAUGAAAGACGUCAGCCAGCUCUGGUUAACUUCUAAAUUGUAAAACACAUACGAAAAAUCUUGGAAACUUGACUGCUGUAGGCUGCUGCAGCUUUGCUCCCUAUGUUUAAGAGGUUAUCUAUUCACAAAGAAUAUAUCAGUACAGUUAACCAGCAAGUACUGGAAAUGGAACAAUCCAGGUAACCCAAAGGAUUCAUCUGCUAUCCCUUGGCUUAAUUCUCUUCCUUCUCUGAAAUCAAGCCAAACAAACACCAUGCCUGACUCUGCUUAUCUGUGUGCUAUUUGUCAUAUAAAUAUUUGCCAAUGCAAUAUUUCUCUCAUUCAGACUUCUCAGGCAGACUUUUUAGUUGGAUGAAUUGAGGGCUCCUGUUGCGUCCAUUUUCUUGACAUCUUAGCCAUUUUUAUUUUGCCUUCAGACUUUCAACUGAAACUGCACUAGCAUCUUAAAUAUCCUCUUAUUUUCCCUAGCUUUUUUUCACUCUCAUCUCUCUCCUCCUCGACUCUCUGCCCUUCUGGUUUCUGUUGUCUUGGCUGGCUCCUCUGUAGCCCCCUCCUCUGAUAGGUUUAUUCUCCACUGUUUCUACUUUCCUGCACAUUUUCCACUUGAAUAUUUUAUUUUUACCUCAAGUUCAAAAUAUCCUGUCUCUCAACACUGUCACUUUUCCAAAUUUACUUUCCUAAACGUGAAGCUUUAGGAGUCAGCAGCUCCUUCCCUUUGUCCCUUAGUCACUAAGUUUUGUGGAUUCUUCUUUGGCCCUUCUUCUUCCUUCUUCUCCCUGCCAGAAGAACAGGGUGACUCUCCCUCUCUGCAGUGUGACAGGAGAACCAUUUGCUCUUCUGCUACCUCCCCUCUGGGGCCUCCCCUCCCCGCCUCAGUUCAGCAAGGCCAAGUCCAAACUCUCUCUGCCUCCUUUAUGCUUGGACCACACCAGUAACUCUCCUCUUUGUUUUUUAAUUUUUACCUAUUGCCAGCUCAUAAUCAGCAUCUUACUUUCAUAGGGUUCUGAUCUCAAAGUGCCUGUUACGUUACUUAGCCGUAUGUCUGUGACAGUGUAUGAUGCUAGAAACGUAUCUUCUCAUACAGAUUUGUCACCCGGACUACAAAGAAUUGUAGUCAGGAUUACUAGGUUUGGUAUCCCAGAGUUACCUCAAAGUGCUAGGCAAGUACUGAAUUCUCAGUCAGACUGUAAAAUAGGUCAAAUAAUGCUAUUAUCAAAAAUUCUGAUAAGCAUUAAAUCAAAUAAUGUAAGUAAAAGAGCUGGCCCAGAACCUAGAACACAAUUGUCACUGAACAAGUGUUAGUAUCCCUAGUUUCUUCCAUCCUUGAAAUUCUAGCUACUAGAAUAAGCUUAACUUAUAUUCAAUUCUACAUUUAAAACAAAGGAGGAAAAAGACCCAUCAGAUUUUGAUUCUGA
ensembl:lincRNA